rnacentral:rRNA from 1 species
UACGGAGGAUGCAAGCGUUAUCCGGAUUUAUUGGGUUUAAAGGGUGCGCAGGUUGUUUGAUAAGUCAGUGGUGAAAGUCUGUCGCUUAACGGUAGGAUUGCCAUUGAUACUGUUAGACUUGAAUAUGGAUGAAGUAGGCGGAAUGUGUAGUGUAGCGGUGAAAUGCAUAGAUAUUACACAGAACACCGAUUGCGAAGGCAGCUUACUAAUCCAUCAUUGACGCUGAGGCACGAAAGUGUGGGGAUCAAACA